rfam:Barnesiella viscericola DSM 18177, complete genome.
CAUGGAGACUCCGAAAACCAUUGAAUAGAGUAGGAA